AUUGAACGCUGGCGGCAUGCUUUACACAUGCAAGUCGAACGGUAACAGGCCGCAAGGUGCUGACGAGUGGCGAACGGGUGAGUAAUGCAUCGGAACGUGCCCAGUCGUGGGGGAUAACGCAGCGAAAGCUGCGCUAAUACCGCAUACGAUCUAUGGAUGAAAGCGGGGGACCGAAAGGCCUCGCGCGAUUGGAGCGGCCGAUGUCAGAUUAGGUAGUUGGUGGGGUAAAGGCCCACCAAGCCAACGAUCUGUAGCUGGUCUGAGAGGACGACCAGCCACACUGGGACUGAGACACGGCCCAGACUCCUACGGGAGGCAGCAGUGGGGAACUUUGGACAAUGGGCGCAAGCCUGAUCCAGCAAUGCCGCGUGCAGGAAGAAGGCCUUCGGGUUGUAAACUGCUUUUGUACGGAACGAAACGGUCCGGGUUAAUACCCUGGGCUAUGACGGUACCGUAAGAAUAAGCACCGGCUAACUACGUGCCAGCAGCCGCAGUAAAAC
rnacentral:rRNA from 1 species